rnacentral:rRNA from 1 species
UGAGGAAUAAGCAUCGGCUAACUCCGUGCCAGCAGCCGCGGUAAUACGGAGGAUGCAAGCGUUAUCCGGAAUGAUUGGGCGUAAAGCGUCCGCAGGUGGCUAUGUAAGUCUGCUGUUAAAGAGUCUAGCUCAACUAGAUAAAAGCAGUGGAAACUACAUGGCUAGAGUGCGUUCGGGGCAGAGGGAAUUCCUGGUGUAGCGGUGAAAUGCGUAGAGAUCAGGAAGAACACCGGUGGCGAAAGCGCUCUNCUAGGCCGCAACUGACACUGAGGGACGAAAGCUAGGGGAGCGAAUGGGAUUAGAUACCCCAGUAGUCCUAGCCGUAAACGAUGGAUACUAGGCGUGGCUUGUAUCGACCCGAGCCGUGCCGUAGCUAACGCGUUAAGUAUCCCGCCUGGGGAGUACGCACGCAAGUNUGAAACUCAAAGGAAUUGACGGGG